rnacentral:rRNA from 1 species
AUUGAACGCUGGCGGCAGGCCUAACACAUGCAAGUCGGACGGUAGCACAGAGGAGCUUGCUCCUCGGGUGACGAGUGGCGGACGGGUGAGUAAUGUCUGGGGAUCUGCCCGAUAGAGGGGGAUAACCACUGGAAACGGUGGCUAAUACCGCAUAACGUCGCAAGACCAAAGAGGGGGACCUUCGGGCCUCUCACUAUCAGAUGAACCCAGAUGGGAUUAGCUAGUAGGCGGGGUAACGGCCCACCUAGGCGACGAUCCCUAGCUGGUCUGAGAGGAUGACCAGCCACACUGGAACUGAGACACGGUCCAGACUCCUAAGGGAGGCAGCAGUGGGGAAUAUUGCACAAUGGGCGCAAGCCUGAUGCAGCCAUGCCGCGUGUAUGAAGAAGGCCUUCGGGUUGUAAAGUACUUUCAGCGGGGAGGAAGGCGAUGUGGUUAAUAACCGCGUCGAUUGACGUUACCCGCAGAAGAAGCACCGGCUAACUCCGUGCCAGCAGCCGCAGUAA